AUUGAACGCUGGCGGCAUGCUUUACACACGCAAGUCGAACGGUAACAGGCCGCAAGGUGCUGACGAGUGGCGAACGGGUGAGUAAUGCAUCGGAACGUGCCCAGUCGUGGGGGAUAACGCAGCGAAAGCUGCGCUAAUACCGCAUACGAUCUCUGGAUGAAAGCGGGGGACCGAAAGGCCUCGCGCGAUUGGAGCGGCCGAUGUCAGAUUAGGUAGUUGGUGGGGUAAAGGCCCACCAAGCCAACGAUCUGUAGCUGGUCUGAGAGGACGACCAGCCACACUGGGACUGAGACACGGCCCAGACUCCUACGGGAGGCAGCAGUGGGGAAUUUUGGACAAUGGGCGCAAGCCUGAUCCAGCAAUGCCGCGUGCAGGAAGAAGGCCUUCGGGUUGUAAACUGCUUUUGUACGGAACGAAACGCUCCGGGUUAAUACCCUGGGCUAAUGACGGUACCGUAAGAAUAAGCACCGGCUAACUACGUGCCAGCAGCCGCAGUAACAC
rnacentral:rRNA from 1 species